rnacentral:misc_RNA from 1 species
UCUCCGUUGGUGAACCAGCGGAGGGAUCAUUACCAGAGUUUUACAAUUCCCAACCCUUAUGUGAUCCUACCUAUCGUUGGUUCGGCGGACUCGCCCCAGCGGCCGGACGGCCCCGCGCCCGCCCGCGACCUGACCCACGCGGCCGCCGGAGCCCGCACAAUCCUGUAUCCAUCAGUCUCUCUGUAUCCGCCGCAAGGCAAAACAAACGAAUCAAAACUUUCAACAAUGGAUCUCUUGGUUCUG